UUUUAUGGGUGAGCAAAGGAAGUGAUUUCUUGAGAUGAAAUCUACUCCUGGUGACAAUGCUGUGAA
rnacentral:pre_miRNA from 1 species